UAAAAGGAUAGAACUAAUCCAAUGAACAAAACAAGUUAAAAUUGUGCUUGAACUCCCAUUUCAUACUUCAAACCAAACUUCAAAUUAUAUAGGAUUCAGGAGAAGGUACCUGAAUAUACCAAAGCAAACCAAAAAAAAUCAAGGUUGAAGUCAGAAAGAAGCAGCAGCAGCAGAAUAAGCCUUUAAAAAUCAGUAACACCAGAUAAAAUGCACUUCUUCCAACCAAUAAAGAGCAUAGAUAAACAACAAUCUUGACAAUCUGAUUAGCUAGGAAUUUUAAGGAAAAUUGGACCAGUGUUGACCAAAGAAAUGCAGUGUUCUCUCAAAAAUUUUCAAACCCAGCCGUUUUUCUUUCAGUAUUUUCAGAGUGUUUUUUUUCCUCCCAUUUCACAAUGAGUGGAAAGAGAACAUAUAUAGGAAUGCCUAAGGUAGCUCUAGUACAGCUAGCCAAUUCCCUAUUUACCCCUUCUUUCUUGAUUAUUUUUUACCCCUUUUAACCAUUUUGAAAUAAUAUCUGAAAUCCGCAGUUCUUAUCUUAUCCUCCAGAACCUUCUGUACUAAUAGAAAUUGAUUCCCUCAUACCUUAAAUUCCUAAAUUGAUCCUAGAUAGCCUGAUUAUUGCAGUCUUUGCCUUACCCUUAUGACCCCAAUAAGUUUCUAUACUUACAAUUAGCCCCAUAUAGAUCCCUAAAGAUUGACAAACAAGACCAAUCAAAACAAAUAGCACCUAAUCAGAUCAAAACAAACUCACAAGCACAGAAAAUUUGAACAACUUUAAGGUUCGAAAACAAACUUGAAUGAACCAAUUUCAUAAUGAACUCAGGCAAACAAGAACUUCAUCGAAACCAUUUAAGCUAAUUAUGACAUGCCCAGGAAGAUUAACAGAAGAAUCAUCCACAAAACCAAUUUCAAUUUAGACUAACAUGAUUUUAACGAUGUUAAGCACCUAAUUUAACUGAGACAACUGCCUGAAAUCUCAACAAACUAGUGAUUAAUACAAAUAAUACUAAAAUCUAAAGACAAAAACAACAAAAAAAGGGAAGAACAGAAAUGAACUAAACUACACCAAGCCAGGUUCUGCAGAACGAAGGUAAACCUAAACAUAGAAAAGAAACCUAAACAAAAAGAAGAAGAAUGAAACUCUCAGAACCAUAAGGGAAUAAAACUAUACCUGGGAACAGAAUUUAGGGGGUCAAAUCCCAUUGGAUUGAUUCCAUGGGCCGGAAUUGUCUCGAAAUGAUCAAAAAUUGAGAAUAAUUAGUUGUUCUUGCCAAGAACAACUAAUCAGCCUGUAUUUUCGGCUAGUUCGAAGCUUGAAAACCAAUAGAAGCCUUCUGAAUUGUUGCAGAUUCAUGAAUUGGGCAAGGGUUUUUGGGAAAUCGACCAUGAAAUCAUGAUGAAGGGGGGGUCAAAGAUGACGGGAAUUGAUUUUUGAGUG
rnacentral:lncRNA from 1 species